rnacentral:lncRNA from 1 species
UCAGCCUCCCGAGUAGCUGGGACUAUAGGCACCCGCCACCACGCCCGGCUAAUUUUUUGUAUUCACAGUACAGACGGGGUUUCACCGUGUUAGCCAGGAUGGUUUCGAUCUCCUGACCUCGUGAUCCGCCCGCCUCUGCCUCCCAAAGUGCUGGGAUUACAGGCGUGAGCCACCGCGCCCGGUGGAAAGGACACUUUUUUACAGUAUGAGCACUGAAACAAAAAGGCAAAGCAAGGUCUGUUCACCUUCAGCUGAGAACGUGAGGAUUGGUUCAGGAGUACAUGCGCAGGUUUGUCAUAUAAGCAAAUUAUGUGGCACAGAAGUUUGGUGUAUGGAUUAUUUCAUCACCCAGGCCGUUUCUCAGCGUUGGAUGUGCAAGCAGUUUUGAGAGAUGAAGUCAUGACUUCAAGACAAAAAAACAGGUUUGCUUAUUUUGCUACAAACCAAUAAGUUCUUCAGCCAUGCUGCAAAUCCACUGUGUAUCCAGUUCCCAUCUGCGGCCCGCACAUCAUCCCCAUGGGACUUGAGAGCAAGAGGAUCCCACGCAAAUCAUGUUGCUUGCUAUGCUGUGAGUAAAAUGUCCUUUGUCUCUAUCCAGGGCUCCCUGGAGAACUGGCUAAUUCUCGGGCAUGGAAUGAAAAAAUACAAGAUGAACCUGGAGAAGCUUUCUGUGUCAGAAAGUAAGAACGUGCUCAAAGAAUGAUGGGACCAUGUGAAAAGGACAUAGGAGUCUGUUUGAAAGGCAUCCCACUGGCCAAAUAUAGGAUAACUCUGAGGAUAAAAAUGUCAGUAAAGAAUUAUAACCCACUGAAAUAAAAAAUGAUAAAUGGAUAAAUGAAGGCAUUAUUUAUAGGACAAUGACAGCUAAUACAUUUUAAAAGAAAAAUGAGAUACAAGAUCAACAUUUGGCAAACACCAUAAUAAUUAUUUCUGGCAAGAAACAUCCAUGAAAGCUAAAAACUAAUGGAUGCAAAUUGAUGAGAAAGAUAAUAUUUAUAUAACCUCAAAGCAUCUCCUUCAUAAAAUACUUAUUAGUGACAAAGUGAAGAUGGUGACUCUACAAUGGAGGAACCUAGCAGACAGCAUCUUAACCAAGGGAUCAAGAUGGAACAAUUGUGUACUAUAAUGUUCAUUCUCAUAUCAGGCGCUAAGUACACAACAUCACUUUUGUGCUACUCUGCACAAAACCCAUAACUGAAAUCUAACUCUGAGGAAACAUCAGAUAAAAACAAAAUGAACAAUAUUCUUUGCAAUAAGUGAUCUGUGCUCUUCAAAAUGUGAAGGUCAUAAAAGACAGUUCCAGGUCAAAAGAGACCAAAGGUGCACAAUAACUAAAUAAAAAAAGAACCUUAUAUUAGAUUUUGCAGAAGAAACUAUUUUUUGCCCUUUCUUUAAAGAAUAUUAAUGGGAAGUUGGUGAAAUUUGAAUAAAGUCUGUACAUGAGAUGAUAGCAUUAUAUCAAAGUUAAUUUCCUAGUUUUAAUCACUGUCAGGUGUUUAUAUAAGAGAAUUUGUUUUCCAGGAAAUACAAACUGAAUAAUUUAGGAAUAAAGGGAUAUAUCUCCAUAAUUUACUCCUAAAUGACUCAGAAUAUAUAUAUAUAUAUAUAUAUAUGUAUAUGUAUAUACACACACAUAAGUAUGUGUAUGUAUAAAUUUGUUAUAUAUAUAACAUAUGUAUGUGUUAAUAUAACAAAUUUAUAUAUACAUAUGUAUAUAAAUACAAUAUAGAUAUUUUUUAUAUAUAACAUAUCUCUAUCUAUGGAGAGAGAGAGUAAAGAAAAUGUGAAAUGUUAACAUUUGAGGCCUUUAGCAAAGUGUUGACAGAGAUUCUUUGUAUAAUUUUUUUUUUUUUUUUUUUUUUUUUUGAGAUGGAGUCUCGCUGUGUCACCCAGGCUGGAGGGCGGUGGCGUGAUCUCGGCUCACUGCAACCUCUGCCUCCCAUGCUCAAGCAAUUCUCCUGCUUCAGCCUCCUGAGUAGCUGGGAUUACAGGCACAAGCCACCAUGCCCGGCUAAUUGUUGUAUUUUUAGUAGAGAUGGGGUUUCACCAUGUUGCCCAGGCUGAUCUUGAACUCCUGGGCUCAAGUGAACCACCCGCCUUGGCCUCCUAAAGUUCUUUGUAUAAUUUUUGCAACUUUUUAGUAUGUGUGAAAUAAUGUUUUCUAAAAAUGUUUAUAAAAUUUCAUUUCUUGCAAAAUUCAGUACUUUUUUUUACUUUUGGAUUUAGUCAAUUGGUUUUAGUAAAAUUUAAAGUAAUUGGAAUUAAAAAGAAUUGUUUCUAAUCCUGGCUGAGCACAGGCUUGAUAAUUUAAUCUCUCUGAGCUCCAAAGACAUAUAAUUGCAAUAUUAAUAUAUAUACACUUAUUUUCCUCAUAUACUUAAUACCUUUAUAUAGCAAACAUAGAUUGAAUCCUGACUUGUUUUUAAAUGAAAAGUUUACGGCAGGAAAUUGAAUAGAGAGAUCUGAUUAUAACCUCAAACUGUAAUUCUUAAUCUCUGGUUCAUGACAUACUAAUCCAAAGUACUGCAAGUGACUAUUUCCACAAAUAAUUAAAGUAAAAUUUUAACUCAUAACAUUUUUGCAGAGUAGAACAUGGUUAUUGUCAUACUAAUAUUAUUGUGUUUUGGUAGAUUUUCCUGAGUUGGGGAGAUAGAGUUGGAUUAUGGCCAGGACACUGUGCCUUGUACCGGCAGUUGAUGGUCCCAUCUGGGAACCACCUGUCAUUAAUAAAAGCAGUAUGCAUGAAUUACUGCAGUACUUUAUGUCCCUGUAAAUAUUAGGUUUCAUAAAUAUAUAAUUGUAUGCAUGAGAAGGAGUGCAUCCAUAUUUGAACAUCAUCUGUCAUGAAUUGUAUGAGGAAAUAACAUUUAAAAAUUAUUGCUCCAAAAAUGCAAAUGGUUUGAAGACACCAUAACUUAUGGUUCAUAAAUGUGUUCAUAACUGAACAAGGUUUAUGUGGGACAUUUCAGUAUUUGUAACUUAUAGAAGUAAAAACUGAUAAAUCUUGCUGUUUUAUCAUUUACAGAUAAAAUAAUUUUGAGAAAGAAAACAUUUUGGAGAUAAAUAUAACUACUACAUUUCCUAGAAGUAGUUUUGGCUCAUUGGAGAUAAUGUUUCUAUAAUAACUGUAAACAACCACAUUGGAUUUGAUGAGCAUACUACUGCUGCAAAGCAUUGUGCAAAGGAGCACUCAGCUCCUUUAAAUUAAUUGCAUUUGUAUAAAUGGAAUUGGUUUGGUCAAAGGCUGUCUUUUAAUGAAUGAGGUUUUAUAUUCAAGAGUGAACAUAAUCCCUUGGUUCAAGAGUCAAUGAAAUGAAAAAGUGAUUGAUUCACCAAAUUAGGGCUGAAUUUACUUUUGUAUUUUUUAUAG